rnacentral:misc_RNA from 1 species
AAGUCGUAACAAGGUUUCCGUAGGUGAACCUGCGGAAGGAUCAUUAUCACGUAUCCACGUUUAUCAACCAUUGUGAACUGUUUCUGACCUCUGAUGUUUUACCUAUAAAGGUAAUGUUUGUACUGUGAUGAAAGAGUGGGGGGAGAGUUGUUGUUUUGAAGUUUUUUACUUCAUUGCACACUUUUCUCCUUCACAAACAUUACUGGAACAUCGGAGUGUAUUUUUUUUACUCUUUCAUUCAUUCUUAUUCACCUUUUGAACCAUAUUACUAUUAAAUCUUUAUGAACUGAUAUAAAAUUUCCUACUUUCUCUUUCGAGAGAGAGAAGAAAUUUCAUUACGAAACUAAACGAACAACUCUUAGCAACGGAUAUCUUGGUUCUC